rnacentral:rRNA from 1 species
AUUGAACGCUGGCGGCAUGCCUUACACAUGCAAGUCGAACGGCAUCGCGGGAACGCUUGCUUUCCUGGCGGCGAGUGGCGAACGGGUGAGUCACACAUCGGAACGUACCGGCUAGUGGGGGAUAACCCGUCGAAAGACGGGCUAAUACCGCAUACGCUCUUCGGAGGAAAGCAGGGGACCUUUGGGCCUUGCGCUAGCCGAGCGGCCGAUGUCCGGUUAGCUAGUUGGUGGGGUAAAGGCCUACCAAGGCGACGAUCGGUAGCGGGUCUGAGAGGCCGAUCCGCCACACUGGGACUGAGACACGGCCCAGACUCCUACGGGAGGCAGCAGUGGGGAAUCUUGGACAAUGGGGGCAACCCUGAUCCAGCAAUGCCGCGUGGGUGAAGAAGGCCUUCGGGUUGUAAAGCCCUUUCGGCAGGGAAGAAAUCGGCGGGGCGAAUAACCCUGCUGGAUGACGGUACCUGCAGAAGAAGCACCGGCUAACUACGUG